GACAGAGGUGCCGAGCGUUAGGCGGAAUCACUGGGCUUAAAGCGUGUGUAGGCGGGCCGUUAAGUACCUUGUGAAAUCCCCCGGCUCAACCGGGGAACGGCUGGGUAUACUGGCGAUCUUGAACCACCUAGGGGCAGUCGGAACAAGUGGUGGAGCGGUGAAAUGCGUAGAUAUCACUUGGAACGCCAAUGGUGAACACAGACUGCUGGGGGUGUGCUGACGCUGAGACACGAAAGCCAGGGGAGCAAACGGG
rnacentral:rRNA from 1 species